rfam:Picea glauca, whole genome shotgun sequence.
AGGAAUGGCUUAUGGUGGAUACCUAGGCACCUAGAGACAAGGAAGGGCAUGGUAAGCGACGAAAUGCUUUGGGGAGUUGAAAAUGAGCAUAGAUCCAGAGAUUCCUAAAUAGGUUAACCUUUUUAACUGCUGCUUAAUCCAUGGGCAGGCAAGAGACAAGAUGGUGAACUGAAACAUCUUAGUAGAUAGAGGAAUAGAAAGAAAAAGUGAUUCUCGUAGUAGCGGUGAGAAAAAUGGGAGCAACCUAAACCGUAAAAACGGGGUUGUGGGAGAGCACAAUAUAAGCUCUGUGCUGUUAGGCGAAGCAGUUGAGUCCUGCACCCUAGAUGGUGAGAGUCCAGUAGCCAAAAGAAUCAUUGGGUUACGCUCUAACCUGAGUAGCAUGGGGCACAUGGAAUCUCAUGUGAAUCAGCGAGGACCACCUUGAAAGGCUAAAUACUUCUGGGUGACCGAUAGCGAAGUAGUACCGUGAGGGAAAGGUGAAAAGAACCCCCAUCGGGGAGUGAAAUAGAACAUGAUACCGUAAGCUCCCAAGUAGUGGGAGGAAAAUGAUAUCUUUGACCGUGUGCCUAUUGAAGAAUGAGACGGCAACUUAUAGGCAAUGGCUUAGUUAAGGGAACCCACCGGAGCCGUAGCGAGAGCGAGUCUUCAUGGGGAAAUUGUCACUACUUAUGGACCUGAACCUGGGUGAUCUAUCCAUGACCAGGAUGAAGCUUGGGUGAAACUAAGUGGAGGUCUAAACCGACUGAUGUUGAAAAAUCAGCGGAUGAGUCAUGGUUAGGGGUGAAAUGCCACUCGAACCCAGAGCUAGCUGGUUCUCCCCGAAAUGUGUUGAGGCAUAGCAAUUGACUGUACCAUCUUGGGGUAAAACAUUGUUUCGGUACAGGCCGCGAGAGUGGUACCAAAUCGAGGAAAACUCUAAAUACUAUAUUUCCCCAAUAAAAGGGGUAAAGGUCAGCCAGUGAGAUGAUGGGGGAUAAGCUUCAUCGUCGAGAGGGAAACAGCCCAAAUCAUCAGCUAAGGCCCCUAAAUGAUCGCUUAGUGAUGAAGGAAGUACGAGUGCAAAGACAACCAGGAGGUUUGCCUAGAAGCAGCCAACCUUUAAAGAGUUCAUAAUAGCUCAUUGAUCGAGUGCUCUUGCGCCGAAUAUGAAUGGGACUAAGCGAUCUACCGAAGUUGUGGGAUGUAAAAAUGCAUCGGUAGGGGAGUGUUCCGCCUCAGAGGGAAGCACCAAUGCGAGUAGGUGUGGACGAAGUAGAAGAGAGAAUGUUGUCUUGAGUAAUGCAAACAUUGGUGAGAAUCCAAUACCCCAAAAACAUAAGGGUUCCUCCACAAGGUUCGUCCACGGAGGGUUAGUCAGGGCCUAAGAUCAGGAUGAAAGGCGUAGUCGAUGGACAAUAGGUUAAUAUUCCUGUACUACCCCUUGUUGGUCCCGAGGGCUGGAGGAGGCUAGGUUAGCUGAAAUAUGGUUAUCGUUUCAAGGACGCAAGGUGACCCUCUAUACAUUGAUUCAAAGGUAAAAGAAGAAUCAAAUACAGGUGUGUACAAGGUGAGGUUCAGGGUGGAUAUUCCUCAUC